rnacentral:rRNA from 1 species
GACGAACGCUGGCGGCGUGCUUAACACAUGCAAGUCGAACGAUGAUGCCCAGCUUGCUGGGUGGAUUAGUGGCGAACGGGUGAGUAACACGUGGGUGAUCUGCCCUGCACUUCGGGAUAAGCCUGGGAAACUGGGUCUAAUACCGGAUAUGACCCUCCUUUAGUGUGGGGGGUGAAAGCUUUUGCGGUGUGGGAUGAGCCUGCGGCCUAUCAGCUUGUUGGUGGGGUAAUGGCCUACCAAGGCGUCGACGGGUAGCCGGCCUGAGAGGGUGAUCGGCCACAUUGGGACUGAGACACGGCCCAG